UCUUAUGGAUGAGCAAAGAAAGUGGUUUCGUGAAAUAGAAUCUUCUAUUGGGGAAGAUGCUAUGGA
rnacentral:pre_miRNA from 1 species